rnacentral:rRNA from 1 species
UACGAAGGCCCCAAGCGUUAUCCGGAAUUACUGGGCGUAAAGCGUUCGUAGGCGGAAAGAUAAGUCAGAUGUGAAAGGUCUGGGCUCAACCCAGUACUUGCAUCCGAAACUGUUUUUCUAGAAUGAGGGAGAGGUAAGCAGAACUGUAUGAGUAGGGGUGCAAUCCGUUGAUACAUACAAGAAUACCAAAAGCGAAGGCAGCUUACUGGAACUCUAUUGACGCUGAGGAACGAAAGCGUGGGGAGCGAAAAGG